rnacentral:rRNA from 1 species
ACGCUCGACACCUACGGGGCAGCAGUGGGGAAUAUUGCACAAUGGGGGAAACCCUGAUGCAGCGACGCCGCGUGAAGGAAGAAGUAUUUCGGUAUGUAAACUUCUAUCAGCAGGGAAGAAAGUGACGGUACCUGAGUAAGAAGCCCCGGCUAACUACGUGCCAGCAGUCGCGGUAAUCUGAGCGGGCUGGCAAGGC